CCUACGGGAGGCAGCAGUGAGGAAUAUUGGUCAAUGGACGAGAGUCUGAACCAGCCAAGUAGCGUGAAGGAUGACUGCCCUAUGGGUUGUAAACUUCUUUUAUAUGGGAAUAAAAUGUUCCACGUGUGGGAUUUUGUAUGUACCAUAUGAAUAAGGAUCGGCUAACUCUGUGCCAGCAGCCGCGGUAAUGCGGAGGAUCCGAGCGUUAUCCGGAUUUAUUGGGUUUAAAGGGAGCGUAGGUGGAUUGUUAAGUCAGUUGUGAAAGUUUGCGGCUCAACCGUAAAAUUGCAGUUGAAACUGGCAGUCUUGAGUACAGUAGAGGUGGGCGGAAUUCGUGGUGUAGCGGUGAAAUGCUUAGAUAUCACGAAGAACUCCGAUUGCGAAGGCAGUUCACUGGACUGCAACUGACACUGAGGCUCGAAAGUGUGGGUAUCAAACAGGAUUAGAUACCCCUGUAGUC
rnacentral:rRNA from 1 species